AUCGAAGAUCGAGGUAGUGACGAAAAAUAACGAUCCAGGACUCAUCCGAGGCCCUGGAAUCGGAAUGAGUACACUUUAAAACCGUCCCCGAGGAUCUAUUGGAGGGCAAGUCUGGUGCCAGCAGCCGCGGUAAUUCCAGCUCCAAUAGCGUAUAUUAAAGUUGUUGUGGUUAAAAAGCUCGUAGUUGGAUCUCGGCGGACUGAGGGCGGUUUGCUUGCUAGUAUUACUGCCCUAUAGUCCGUAGUUUUGCCAGAGGUUUCGGGGUGCUCUUAAUCGAGUGUCCCGGGAUGCUGGCAGGUUUACUUUGAAAAAAUUAGAGUGCUCAAAGCAGGCUAUUACGCCUGAAUAUUCGUGCAUGGAAUAAUAGAAUAGGAAGUCGUUUCUAUUUUGUUGGUUUUCGGAAAUCGACUUAAUGAUUAAUAGGGACAGUCGGGGGCAUUUGUAUUCAAACGACAGAGGUGAAAUUCUUGGACCGUUUGAAGACAAACUACUGCGAAAGCAUUUGCCAAGAAUGUUUUCAUUAAUCAAGAACGAAAGUUAAAGGUUCGAAGGCGAUUAGAUACCGCCCUAGUUUUAACCAUAAACGAUGCCAGCUAGCGAUCUGCGGACGUUUUUUUUGUAGACUCCGCAGGAAGCUUCCGGGAAACCAAAGCAUUUGGGUUCCAGGGGAAGUAUGGUUGCAAAGCUGAAACUUAAAGGAAUUGACGGAAGGGCACCACCAGGAGUGGAGCCUGUGGCUUAAUUUGACUCAACACGGGAAAUCUCACCAGGCCCGGACACUGGAAGGAUUGACAGAUUGAUAGCUCUUUCUUGAUUCGGUGGGUGGUGGUGCAUGGCCGUUCUUAGUUGGUGGAGUGAUUUGUCUGGUUAAUUCCGAUAACGAACGAGACUCUGUCCUGCUAAAUAGUGUCUGCUUCUCUUUUGAGCAGACAAUUCUUCUUAGAGGGACUGGCGACUCUUAGUCGCACGAGAUUGAGCAAUAACAGGUCUGUGAUGCCCUUAGAUGUUCUGGGCCGCACACGCGCUACACUGAAUAGAUCAGCGUGUUCUCCCUUUCCGAGAGGAACGGGUAAACCGCUGAACCCUAUUCGUGGUAGGGAUCGGGGCUUGCAAUUAUUCCCCGUGAACCAGGAAUUCCCAGUAGGCGCAAGUCAUAAGCUUGCGUCGAUUACGUCCCUGCCCUUUGUACACACCGCCCGUCGCUACUACCGAUUGAACGUUUUAGUGAGGUCCUCGGACUGUUUGCCUGGCGGAUUACUCUGCCUGGCU
rnacentral:rRNA from 1 species